AUAAUAUCAUAAAAUCAAAUUAAUCUACCCAUUCACCCCAACCCCAACAAAUUUUACUUCAAACCCUAUUUAUUUCCCUUCUCUCUUCUCUCCCUAGUCUCAUUAUCUCCUCUCUCAAAUAUUUUCUUCCUCAACAAAGCAAUCAAAAAAUGCCUCUGAAGUUGAAAAGCACCAGUGGAAUAUGUCGCGAGCUGCAUUAUGAUGCUGCGCACAAAACAUGAGUGCAGCGAAGUCAUCGGCCGCUGCGACGAAGCCGCGCCGCGCACAGUAGUUGAUGCGACAGCGGCUGCUAUAGCUGUAGUAGCCGCUUUAGGUUUCGGGCUACAAUCACCGCUGCCAUGAAGCCACGAGCAUCGAUUGCGAUGGUGAGGUGGUGGUAAUGUUGGAUCUGGUUUGUGCUUUGAUUUUGUUGUUGGCGAUGGAGCGUCUGCAGUUCGAUAGGUGCUCUAUGGUGCAAUUCGUUAAUUGAUAGCAGUUGGAUGCGACAUUGAUGGAGUUAAGCUUGGGACCUUGGUAGGGAGUCCCCUUGGCCAGCUAUUGGUUCAAUGGUGGGUUGCGAUGGUGGUGGUACAGGCGGUGGUAUAGGUGGUGAUGAUGGUAAUAUAAGUGAUAAUGGAUCUAGUGGUGGCGGUGAGGUUUUGGUUGUUGGAGUGGUAGUGAUGGUUUCCAUAUUUUGGUGUUAUUGUGGGUUUGGGGUGGUUUUUGUUGGUGGUGCAGGUGGAGGUGCUAGCGGUGGUAAUGGUCGUGGCCGCGAUAGUGCCAGUUGUGGGAAGGAUGGCUACGGGGUGGUGAGAAUGAUUGUGACCAAUUAUUUGAGGUUGUGGCCAAUUAUUGGCUAUUUUGUGAUCGAUAAAUAUUAUGUGAUCAGUGACUUUUAAUCAAUAAAUAAUGUGAUCUAAAUAUUUGAAUCGUGAUUUGUGAUCAAUAAUUUUUUUGAUUUAUGAUCGAUGGAUAAAUUUUAAUCUAUAAAAGAUUUUAUUUGCAA
rnacentral:lncRNA from 1 species